CAUGAGACAACAGCACAGUAGUAGAUCCCAGCAUGAGACUCUGUCAGGUUCUUUAUGGGCAGCUCAUAGACACAGCUGUGUGUUUGUGUGUUGUUCUUUCUCUCACACUGAUCAUUCCUGCCUCCAUGAGUGUAAAUGAGUCCUGGAUGAGAGUCUUCAGAGUCUUUGAACC